UACACAACAGCAUUAGUUACGGUGCAUUUUUUUUACGAUGAAGCUACAAACCAGAUUCCCUAAUAUGUAUUUUCGUCUAGUUCUAUCUGCUGAUGUGCUGACAAACAGGCUUGCUUUAAAUUCAUUCUGAUAUGGUCAAUUCAACGAAGAAGUAUCAAUAUCAUGUGGUCAAUGAAAAAAAAAAAGAAUUAGCAGCGGUUUAGAAAGGACAGGCUAUAAGUGCGAAAUCUGCUUUUGAUACAGUUUUACUUUGGUAAAAUAUGAAACAGUUGUUUUCGAAAAUUGUUUUUUUGUUGUUGUCAUAAUAUAUAACAAAUUUCAAAAUUUCAAAAAGAUCCAAUGUGUUUAUGAAUAUUUGUUGAAAAUCAGUGAUUCGGUUAAACUUUGUUUUUAGAAGCAAAUAUUCCAGCCUCUUGUAAUUUCUCCGUCGUUCCCUAACUUUAAGCGAUUGAUCACUUAACUAUCUGCGUCUGUAAAUAGGUAAUAUAAUUCUAAUUUCGCUCGACUCAAUCAUAAUACAAGUCAAUUCCAACAAAAGUUACUACGUUUAUUUUAAGAAUUAAAAGAUGAUGUCAAAGUUUUGCGGUUAACACCAAAUAUUUUUGUUCGCUGAUAUCGGACAAAAACUAACCAAAACCAUUCAAAAUAUUUAGCACAAACCCUAAUGAUGGUUCAAUUUCCCCACAUAAUAUAAUGGUAGCAGUAACCUCUUUCGAUACAUUUCCCUAAAUCCUGGAAAUUUUGGAAGAUAGAGGGGACAACGGCGAACUCUCGUACUCUUUCUAACUAGUCAUGCCGUCGCGACGUCUAACGUCGGUGUUCAGCGAAUGGUUACUUUCCCAAUAGACCACAGCGUGUUUAUCUUAUGGCAAAACGAGUGCUGACGUAGUGAACGGGAUCAAACCUUAGCAAUAAACGAACGAGAUGGCGGAACAUCCCGUCGGGAUAACGGACCACGCGGUGAAUGUCUCAUCCUUACCGGCUGUAUCGAUUGUGCGCUGAACAGCACAAGUGGUCGUGUUUUUAAUGCAUGACGAAAUGUAUCCGUCUGGUAUACGCAAAUUUUGGAUAAAUAUUUCCCCUUAAUAUUUCCCUAUUGUUCCCCGUAUUACGUAAAUAUUUCUCCGUAUUUCCUCGUAUUUUUCAAAUAUUUCUCCGUGUUUUCCUAUAUUUCUUUCUAUUUUUUUUGUAUGAAAAAACUGAUCUAUCACAAAAUAUUUUAUAAUGGGUUUGUUAAUAAUUUUAAUGAUUUAGGUAAUACAAGAUAUAUAUGUAUAUUUCAUUUAUUAACACAAUAAAUUACUGUUUGCAUGUUUAA